rnacentral:RNase_P_RNA from 1 species
CCAGAUGGUCGGAUGGCCGCUGCCAUAGCAAUAUGGGAGAGGAAAGUCCGGGCACCACGGAAGAACGGUGCCGGUUAAUGGCCGGCGAAGGUGACUUCAGGGAAAGUGCCACAGAAAGCAAACCGCCUGUCCUCGGAUAGGUAAGGGUGAAAGGGUGCGGUAAGAGCGCACCGCUCCGUUGGUAACAGCGGAGGCAGGGUAAACCCCACCGGGUGCAAAAUCGAAUAGGAACGUCAGUCCUGGCAACAGGGCAGCUCUUCUUCCGGAGUGUCGUUCGGGUAGAUUGCAUGAGCGACCUGGCAACAGGCCGCCUAGAUGAAUGGUCAUCCAUCUGAGGUGUCUUUUAGGCACUUCAGGGGACAGAACCCGGCUUACAGACCAUCUGGAUAA